GUCUUUGUAGCGCAAUGAUAGCUGUGGACUUUAAUCCAAAUGGAUUGGACUUUUAAUCCAAAGAUCGUGGGUUCAAAUCCCACCUGGGAUG
rnacentral:tRNA from 1 species